AGAGUUUGAUCCUGGCUCAGGAUCAACGCUGGCGGCGUGCAUGAGACAUGCAAGUCGAACGGACGACUCGGGCUUGCCUGAGUCGUUAGUGGCGGACGGCUGAGUAACGCGUGGGUGACCUGCCUCGAAGUGGGGAAUAACUGCCCGAAAGGGUGGCUAAUACCGCAUGUGACGGUGCGUUCGAUCGCAUCAUGAAAGCAGCAAUGCGCUUCGAGAGGGGCCUGCGUCCGAUUAGCUCGUUGGUGGGGUAACGGCUCACCAAGGCGACGAUCGGUAGGUGGUCUGAGAGGACGAUCACCCAGACUGGGACUGAGACACGGCCCAGACACCUACGGGUGGCAGCAGUCGAGAAUUUUUCUCAAUGGGGGAAACCCUGAAGGAGCGACGCCGCGUGGAGGAUGAAGGUCUUCGGAUUGUAAAC
rnacentral:rRNA from 1 species